UACUAUACAAAAUUAAAAGGUAAAAGACGACAUAAAAUAAAAAAACAAAAAAAAACAGACUCAAAAUAUAAAAAGAAAAGAAAAUCUUCUUUUAAUCUACUCCUGAAUGAGCGAUCCUAAAUAGAUGUCCUGGGGCGCUGUCAUGCUCAAACUCCGAUAAGUAAAUCCACGCCUGUAUGAGAAAAUUAAAACCAAAUAGGUUAAAGACCUAGAGCGCUAUGUGAGACAAUAACCCUUCCUGUUGGAAACAUGCAAGACAUGAUUUAGGCUAUUUUUGUAAAAUGACUUAUUUGGCCAAAAGAUAGCUAGAAGUGCAAAAUUUGGCUAAGGCCCCGCAAAGCCAAGAGCCUAAGAUUUACUAGGAAGACCGGACCCUAUGUGGGCUGCCUACGUAUCAUACCCCGAAAGACGAGAAUCAAGUAUGCGUAGUUCGGGCAGAUUGGAUACGGGCAAGAAUUAAAAAAACAACUAAUUUAGAGAAACCAUAUUUUUUUGUCUUUUUUAAAAAAAAAUGAGGAGACAUGUAACUUUUUUUUGGAUUUUUGUUCUUUUUUUUUUGAUUUACGAAAAAUGAUGAAAAAGUGUAAAAUCUCUUUUUUUUUGAAUUUUCAAGCUCUUUUUUUUAAUAAGAAUGUGACAGAAAACAUAAUUGGGCCACACUCGCUUUAUCUUCACACUUCAACCUCUUUUUCUUUUUAUUUUUUAUUUUCCCUCAACUAUCAUUGGUCUGCCAAAUGACCCUUUUACCCUUGAAGAAUGCAACAUGUAGCACAUAGGAUGCAUCAAAAUGGUCUGUUAUUUUGGGUACACCUGUCCUAAACGGACCCAACCCUUGUGUUGAGUCCCCAAAGUCAGAUGCACGUGAUGCAAACAAGCGUUCCUACUAUGGAUCCGGCAUGAGGCUGAGUUAUUCUAGGUUCUAAACCUAGGUAUGUGUUCUAGACUGUGUACCCGAGUGGACAACUCGAGCCGAGGAGGGGGCUACAUACCGGGAACCAAAAGGUCAUCCGACUUAGUAACUUGUCCGAGCCUAUUUCUUAUUUCAAGGUAUGACACUAACAGAAUAAGGAGUCUCGACCAGAGAGCACAUCCCCGAAGAUGAGAAGAGAAGGGUUUAGUGGUAGUUUAUAUACAGUUCAGAUAAUAUCAAAGCGGUAAAAGCAUCAUUUAACACAUUAGGCCCGAGCAUGUAUUCCGAUAAUAGAUAAAGCCAAAUACAACAAUUCAGCUAAGCUCGAAUUCUGAACCUUGAACUAGAGAUUCUGGGUUCGGUCCCCAGCAGAGUCGCCAGAGCAGUCACACCUCCUUUUUCCUACACCCCCGUAAGGGAGUAUAAAGGGAGUUUUUUCCAACUUAAAGUGACAAUCGAAACGGGAUUAUUUAUUUAUUAAACUCAGAGUCGCCACUUGGGAUAAUUUAUGGUGUCCCAAGUCACAGGUUCUAAUCCCGAAUCGAGGAAAAGAUUGAUUCUAUAUUACAGUUUGCGAACACAGAAAUCCGGGUAAGGAAUUCUGUUAACCCGAAAAAAGGUGUUAGGCAUUCCCGAGUUCCGUGGUUCUAGCACGAUCACUCAACCGUUAUAAUUGGCCUAUUAUCUGAUUUUAAUACAUGUUUUAGCCUAUGGUGCCAUUUUAAAUUAUUAACCGCUCUUAUUCAUUUUUAGGAAGAAUGCAACGUCAUUUAAAAUAUGUCUUGAACCACGUCACAUAAUGCACCCGCAGUCUGCAACACAUUUUAUAUAACAUUAUCGAGAUUUGGAUUUGGGUCACAUAAAUGCGCACCCGAGUUUAGGAAGGUAAAUUAUUAAAUAGCGCCUAAAGCAACUACGAUGUAUUCAUUUCCUGAAGUAAUCUAUUGUAGAGGUCAUGAUUUAAGGAUUGAACUACAGUACGCCAGCUCUUUUACAUUGUAACAAGACUAAGAAAUUUCAACACUUUUAUCUAUUUUUUUAAUCCUUUAGCAAAUGAUGUUGUAUCUACUAUCUACUGUAUUUACAUUCUCAUUUCACACUAAAAAGCUAAAAGACAAAUAUAUGUGUAUUAUAAAAUAUGUUGUUCCCUACUUUGCUGUCAAAGCAUAACUUCCAUUUUUUCCAUAUAACCCAUCUUAUAUUAUAUCAAAUAAAUAGAAACAAUAAUAAGUGAAACAGAAUAUAAGAAUAGAAAUAAAAUUAAUUUUAAGGUGAAAUAGAGGUAAAUAAAGAUCACAUAUAAGACAAAUCACAAACAUUAUUAAUAAAUCAUUUUAAAAGAGAGGACAUACACAUUCGCAUUUUUGGAUUCAUGAUUUUUGACGCCAAAGUUUAUAAAUUCAAGCUAACCUUACCUGCCAAAUCAUUUUUCAAUAAGCUCAUGCCUAAUUUUUAACCUUUGUCAGUGGAUACCAUUCCAAUUCUCUUUAACAAAAUUUAAAUUGCUUUGUCUCAUUUAACAAGUAAAUAGUAGCAUAGUUUCAUGUAGUCACUAAACUCAAUAUUGGCAUGAAAGGCAGUAGUAAUGAAGAUAGACGGAACAAAAUAUAAAUGUGAAGAAUGGAUUAUCUACUAACUCAAACCACAAACAAGGUAAGGCAACAGAGGAUUCAUGACAAUAAAUUAGAAUGAAAGUAGAGAAGGAACAGAAAUGACGGACCUUUUAUAUACAUAGAAAUUUAUUGACUACAAAGAUAUGAGCUCGACGAGAGAAUUCAAAAAAAACGAACCAGGCACGGAGAACUUGUCGGCGACCUCGAACAAGGAUCUGGACAAAAAUUAUAGCGACUCGACUAGAUUUGGACAGCUAUUUCGAGUGUAAAGGAGUCGGUUCGAUGGAUGUUUGCGGCUGGUUUUGGACGGCAUUUCGUUGGAUCUCUGGUGCUGAUUUUGGGACAACUAUUCUGGGAUUUUCGGAUUGGUUUUUCAGCAAUUUUGCAGAUGGUUUGACUGCUCUUUAGAGCUAUUUUGCGGACAGUUUUUGGGGCUAGUUUGGGUGACAUUUUUGGGGUUGAAUUUCAGCUUGGUCUAGGGCUCUUUUCGUGGUAGUUUCAGGUGUUUCAGGGGUGUUUGAGCUAAAGUUUUUGAGGUUGAGAAGCUAUGGAUGAAGCUGAUUUUUGGGUGAAGCAACAUCGGGUUUCAACUACGUUUUUUUGGAUGCUUUUGGCUGCUUCUUGUUACUGAUUUUAGAGGGUCCUGUGGUUACUUUUGUCAUGAGAAGGGCUGGCCUUACAUGGCUAUGAAAAUUUGAUGGAAAAAGAGAAUGAAGUUUCCACAAGGAAUAAGAAGCAAAGAAUGGCGG
rnacentral:lncRNA from 1 species